UAACUACAUACAUAUUGACCCAUCAGCGCA
rnacentral:sRNA from 1 species